rnacentral:misc_RNA from 1 species
UCCGACUUUCAUCGGCUGUCUCUCUAGAGUGCCCAGCGUAACCUGCUGGCAACUAAAGAUAAGGGUUGCGCUCGUUGCGGGACUGAACCCAACAUCUCACGACACGAGCUGACGACAACCAUGCACCACCUGUCACCUUCGUCCCCGAAGGGAAGGGAAUAUUUCUAUACCGGUCGAAGGGAUGUCAAGCCUUGGUAAGGUUCUUCGCGUUGCAUCGAAUUAAACCACAUGCUCCACCGCUUGUGCGGGCCCCCGUCAAUUCCUUUGAGUUUCAGCCUUGCGGCCGUACUCCCCAGGCGGAGUGCUUAUUGGGUUUCCUUCGGCACUGCGGGCAUGACGCCCCCAACACCUAGCACUCAUCGUUUACGGCGUGGACUAC